rnacentral:rRNA from 1 species
UACGUAGGUGGCUAGCGUUGUCCGGAUUUAUUGGGCGUAAAGAGCUCGUAGGCGGUUUGGUGAGUCGGAUGUGAAAUCUCCAGGCUCAACUUGGAGGGGUCAUCCGAUACUGCCAUGACUAGAGUUCGGUAGAGGAGCGUGGAAUUCCCGGUGUAGCGGUGAAAUGCGCAGAUAUCGGGAGGAACACCAGUAGCGAAGGCGGCUCGCUGGGCCAUUCCUGACGCUGAGACGCGAAAGCUAGGGGAGCGAACAGG